rnacentral:rRNA from 1 species
CGGGUGAGUAACGCGUAGGCAUCUAUCCUUGGGUGGGGGGAGUAAACCGUGGGAAACUACGGCUAAUACCGCAUGACGACUGAGGUCCAAAGCUGGCCGGGGUGACUUGGCGGCGCCUGGGGCGGAGCCUGCGUCCGAUUAGCUAGUUGGUGGGGUAACGGCCUACCAAGGCGACGAUCGGUAGCUGGUCUGAGAGGAUGAUCAGCCACACUGGGACUGAGACACGGCCCAG